AUUGAACGCUGGCGGCAUGCCCUACACAUGCAAGUCGAACGGUAACAGGUCUUCGGAUGCUGACGAGUGGCGAACGGGUGAGUAAUACAUCGGAACGUGCCCGAUCGUGGGGGAUAACGAGGCGAAAGCUUUGCUAAUACCGCAUACGAUCUACGGAUGAAAGCGGGGGAUCUUCGGACCUCGCGCGGACGGAGCGGCCGAUGGCAGAUUAGGUAGUUGGUGGGAUAAAAGCUUACCAAGCCGACGAUCUGUAGCUGGUCUGAGAGGAUGAUCAGCCACACUGGGACUGAGACACGGCCCAGACUCCUACGGGAGGCAGCAGUGGGGAAUUUUGGACAAUGGGCGAAAGCCUGAUCCAGCCAUGCCGCGUGCAGGAUGAAGGCCUUCGGGUUGUAAACUGCUUUUGUACGGAACGAAAAGCCUCUUUCUAAUAAAGAGGGGUCAUGACGGUACCGUAAGAAUAAGCACCGGCUAACUACGUG
rnacentral:rRNA from 1 species